AAAGAUUAAGCCAUGCAUGUGUCAGUACGAGCCUUCCUUAGAGUGAAACCGCAAACGGCUCAUUAAAACGGUCAUAAUUUACUUGAUGCAGUGGUUAAUCCUACACGGAUAACCGUGGCAAUUCUAGAGCUAAUACGUGCAUCUGAGCUCCGACGCCUUGCGCCGCUUCGGCGGCGUAAGGCGGAAGGGCGCAAUUAUUAGAACCAUGAACCGAGCCCCGUGAAUUCGGGAAUUUCCCAAAACUUGGUUGUGGUGACUCUGGAUAAUGCUUGCCGCGCGCUGAGGCCACCGAGCCGGCGCACUUUCAUUCGAGAGACCUACUUAUCAGCUGUCGACUGCAAGCUAUACGCUUACGGUGGCAGUAACGGGUAACGGGGAAUCAGGGUUCGAUUCCGGAGAGGGAGCCUGAUAAACGGCUACCACAUCUAAGGAAGGCAGCAGGCACGCAAAUUACCCACUCCCGGCUCGGGGAGGUAGUGACGACAAAUAACGAUGUGGGACUCUUCCGAGGCCUCGCAAUCGGAAUGAGUUUACCAUAAAUCCUUAUUCGAGGAUCCAUUGGAGGGCAAGUCUGGUGCCAGCAGCCGCGGUAAUUCCAGCUCCAAUAGCGUAUAUUAAAGUUGCUGCGGUUAAAAAGCUCGUAGUUGGACCUUGGGUCCGUACCGGCGGCCCUCCAAGGCGGGCUUCUCGGUUCGCGGAACACGCUGCUGAGCGGCGGCGUCGCCCGCGGGCGGAGGCUUUCGGACCGCGUCUCGCGCGCCCUCCUCGCCAACCAACACCCUUGAGCCUUCCACUCUACGACCAACGGUCGCUUCGGCGGCCUCGUCCUUCCCGCGCUCGUCGCGGGUCGGAGCCCACGCGGGGCGUUACGGGGGUCGGUGAAAGGCGUCGUUGUCGUUGGUUCCGGGAGGCGCCGUAGGCGCCCCGAUCGCCGUCCCGUCCGCGGCGGCCGUCGUAGCGUCUCCCCCGAGUUACGCUCGCCCGGUGGCUAACCGCCCGGAUACGGAUUACGUGUCUAAAGACCGAUGGCUCGCCCGAGGUGCUCUUUGCCGAGUGUCUCGCGCGGCCGUCGAAGUUCACUUUGAAAAAAUUAGAGUGCUCAAAGCAGGCUUACUAUUAACCGCCUGAAUAAUUAUGCAUAGAAUGAUGGAACAGGACCUCGGUUCCGCGAUUGUUACCGCUCGGUUUUCCACGAACCCGAGGUAAUGAUUAACGGGGACGGACGGGGGCAUUAGUAUUGCGGCGCGAGAGGUGAAAUUCUAUGACCGUCGCAAGACUAACUACUGCGAAAGCAUUUGCCAAGAACGCUUUCAUUAAUCAAGAACGAAAGUUAGAGGAUCGAAGGCGAUCAGAUACCGCCCUAGUUCUAACCAUAAACGAUGCUAACCAGCGAUCCGCUCGAGUCAUUCCCACGACUUUGCGGGAAGCCCCCGGGAAACCAAAGUUUUUGAGUUCCGGGGGUAGUAUGGUUGCAAAGCUGAAACUUAAAGGAAUUGACGGAAGGGCACCACCAGGAGUGGAGCCUGCGGCUUAAUUUGACUCAACACGGGAAACCUCACCAGGCCCGGACACCGGAAGGAUUGACAGAUUGAGAGCUCUUUCUCGAUUCGGUGGUUGGUGGUGCAUGGCCGUUCUUAGUUGGUGGAGCGAUCUGUCUGGUUAAUUCCGAUAACGAACGAGAUUCUGCCCUACUAAGUAGUCGGCGGAUCGUUUCCCGAGGCGGGUUAACCCCGUCCGCGUCGAGGGUCUUUCGAUAGCGUCGUCGCGGGGCUCGACGGGUCUCCGCGCCCGGCUCGGCCGCUCGCCCGCGCGCUCCGGCGCGCGCGGCGUAGUGGGUUGGGUCGGCGCGGCUGUUCUCGUUCCCGCGGUCUUCGCUCGUUAACCCUCUCGGCGCGUUAGGGGCCCGGCGAGGGGCGUCCGUCGCAUUUCUUCUUAGAGGGAUCGGCGGCUCCUAGCCGUAAGAGAGAGAGCAAUAACAGGUCUGUGAUGCCCUUAGAUGUCCUGGGCCGCACGCGCGCUACAAUGGCGGGCGCAGCGCGCUUUCCUCCUCCGAGAGGAGCGGGUAACCGUGUGAAACCCCUUCCCGAUUGGGAUUGGGGAUUGCGAGUGUUUCCCAUGAACGAGGAAUUCCCAGUAAGCGCGAGUCAUGAGCUCGCGAUGAUUAAGUCCCUGCCCUUUGUACACACCGCCCGUCGCUACUACCGAUUGAAUGAUUCAGUGAGGGCGUUGGACCGGCGCCCCAAGGCUUCGCCCUCCUUCCUCUCCUCUUCGAGGGAGGAUCGGGAGGGCCGCCCGGGCCGCGGCCGGGAAGACGUCCGAACUUGAUCAUUUAGAGGAAGUAAAAGUCGUAACAAGGUUAUCGUAGGUGAACCUGGG
rnacentral:rRNA from 1 species